UCGGCCUCUCUUACUCUCUCCCUUCGCUUUCGCAAACACCAGAACUCUCUCCUCCCUUUUCGUGCUUCUCUCAUAACCACCACCAUCACCAAGUGUCGCCCAACCUCCGCGACCACCUGCACCGCCUUCGCGCCGCCAGCCUCCGCGACUACCUGUACUUGCUGCCGCGCAGUCCACCGUCGGCCGACCUCCCUCUCUUCUCUUUUUGGUUAUUUCUUUAACCCUAAAACUAUUUAAUUCUUUAAUUUGGUUUUAGUAAUUUAAUUAAUGUUUUCAUGCUUUAAAUCUAUGGUUUUAAUUAUGUAAAUAUAGAAAUCAGAUUUCAUAUUUUGCAUAAUGAAUUAUUUAAUUUUCAGAUUUAUUAAUUUUGUUAAAUAAGGGUUUUAAAUUAUUAAAGCUUGAAAUUUUAAGGUUUUAUUAGUUAGAAAAUCAUAGUAUGAUGUUUGUGGAUUAUUAAAAUUAUUGUUUCAACGUUCUAGCAUGUUAAAUUGGCCUUGGCGAAGUUUUAAACGAGUUUAUAUUGCUGAAAUUUAAAGUAUGUCUUUUGCGAAAAGUUUUCAACGAAUUUCAAUCACUAAUUCAAUAAUUAUGAUGCUAGUAAAUCAAAUGUUCGAGUUUUAAUGUUGGGGAAGGUUCUAAAUUUGUUUAGGACGCAUUUAGAACGCUUUAUUAUGAUCGCCAAUGAUUAGAAAUUGAUUGGGAUUAUUUGUUGGUUGUUUUAGGCGGAGAAUUCCCUUUAGGCGACUUUUGAAAGUGUUAAAGUGAUCUAUCAGUUUGUUUACAUAAGUCUCUAAGGAUCAAUAAGCGUUGCCCAUCUACAGGUUUGAAGAUGAUGCAUCAUUGGGAUCGGGAUUAGAGAGCUUGUAGUUAUAUUUUCUUUAUUAAGUGAUUUGGUUUGUUAACUUAAAUUUGAAAUUUGUCGUACUAUUCGUAUUUCCUUAUUUCAGUUAAUUGGUUUUGGACCUAAUAUGUAAUAAGAUUAUUUAUGAACCUAAAAGUUAGUUUUAUGUUUUC